rnacentral:snRNA from 1 species
GCUCACUUUGGCAGCAUAUAACAAAAUUGGAAUGAUACAGAGAUUAGCAUGGCCCCUACACAAAGAUGACAUGCAAAUUCAUGAAGCAUUCCAUAUUUUU